UUUAACUUGAACUUUUCUAAACCAAACUUUCGAUUACAUUCGGCUCCCAAAACGUCCAUUCCUGCAGACUGCGCUUUAUAAGAUCAUCAAAAACAUUUGUUGUCGAUGAAAAGUGUUGCAAAGGGCCCUGAUGUCUCGAUAACAUCUGCUGUCAGAUUUUUAAAAAAGAAAAGAAACUUCAACACUUGUACACGUGAGUAAAUAAUUCUCAGUUUAUAUAAUUCAGAUGAAACACAAGGCACUUGGAAAACGUUUGAUAUACUGGAUACCGUAAAAUCAU